UAUAGUAUGGUGCUCGUAGCAUUUUGCAUUUUGGUUGCAAAGGUGAAUUGAUUUCUGCUAUAA
rnacentral:tRNA from 1 species